UAUGUAGGGGGCAAGCGUUGUCCGGAAUCAUUGGGCGUAAAGCGCGUGUAGGCGGCUCGAUAAGUCUGCUGUGAAAGUCCAGGGCUCAACCCUGGGAUGCCGGUGGAUACUGUCGAGCUCGAGUCCGGAAGAGGCGAGUGGAAUUCCUGGUGUAGCGGUGAAAUGCGCAGAUAUCAGGAGGAACACCAAUGGCGAAGGCAGCUCGCUGGGACGGUACUGACGCUGAGACGCGAAAGCGUGGGGAGCAAACAGG
rnacentral:rRNA from 1 species